GGCGAGGCAGAGAAGGUGAGGCAGAGUGUGAGGCGGAGAGGGCGAGGCAGAGAAGGCGAGGCAGAGUGUGAGGCGGAGAGGGCGAGCGGCGACUGGCGAGGCAGUGAGGCGGAGAGAGUGAGGCGGAGAGGGCGAGGUCUGAGCGGCGAGGCAGAGAGGCUGUGAGCGGUGAGGAAGAGAGGCUGUGAGCUUGGGUGAGGCGGAGAUGUUGAGAUUUGAGA